AUUGAACGCUGGCGGCAGGCCUAACACAUGCAAGUCGAACGAGUGGCGGACGGGUGAGUAAUGUAUGGGAACCUGCCUGAUAGCGGGGGAUAACUACUGGAAACGGUAGCUAAUACCGCAUACCAUCAGAUGUGCCCAGAUGGGAUUAGCUUGUUGGUGGGGUAAAGGCUCACCAAGGCAACGAUCCCUAGCUGGUUUGAGAGGAUGACCAGCCACACUGGGACUGAGACACGGUCCAGACUCCUACGGGAGGCAGCAGUGGGGAAUUUUGGACAAUGGGCGAAACCCUGAUGCAGCCAUGCCGCGUGUAUGAUGAAGGCCUUCGGGUUGUAAAGUACUUUCGGCGGGGAGGCGUUACCCGCAGAAGAAGCACCGGCUAACUCCGUGCCAGCAGCCGCGGUAAUUC
rnacentral:rRNA from 1 species